AGUGUUAAGAAAGUGACCCUAAUGGUGCAGCAGUACUCAUACUCCUUGAUCUUUCCUCUGCCUUUGAUACUAUCGAUCAGGGAAUACUACUUCGUACUCUAGAGGAUAGAUUUGGGGUUCCUGGAGAAG